AAAAAGCAAAAGAUUUUUUCUUAGUUCAACUUCAGCCUCAGCAAUCGUAGUCCCAUUUUCCAACACUGCUAUUACUCCACGCGCCCGUCAAGAGCUCUCGCACGCUCUAAUAUUUAAAGGACGAAUUUAGCCCUUCCUGCUGAAAUGCUUUAUGUUGAAACAUGGAGAAAAUUGGAAAUUCACUGCUUCCGUAUGAGCGUAGUCUGCACGCCACAUAUUUCCGCGUGAGUCUAUGAUCCAACCCUCAGUCCCGCUUCCUCUUCCCUCGGCGGUUCGAGUAGACUCUCUCUAGGGGUACGUACCACCGCCAUGUCUGUUCUCUAUUUUCACACUUGUUCCUCGUGAUCAACGUUGAAAAAGCUUUAUACCCAGUUAGCCACGUGGCCUCUGAAACAUGUAUGAGCAAUCUUUGAGGACAUUGAUUCUGGGGUCGGUCUUGUAUUGUCCGAUCCAGCAUUUCUAAUCCCUCUAUAGCUGGAUCCCUGGGAUUUAAGGGAAAAGAGGAGAAAUGAUAGGUCCUUAUAAACAGCAGAGGCUUUAUGAGGUGCAUAAUGUUGGUGAAGAUAGAAUUUGCAAUCUGCCUGAUUGUAUUCUUCAUCACAUACUCUCAUUUCUUUCCACCAAAGAUGCUGUUGCAACCUGCAUAUUAUCAACAAGAUGGAAGUACCUUUGGACAUCUGUUCCCAACAUUGACUUUGAUGAUUCAUUACUGUAUUCAAAUGAGGUGAAUGGUUGGUGUCCACUCGAGCUGACUUGCUUCAUGAAUUUUGUGGAAAGGGUGCUUCUUCUUCGGGAUGUGUCAAGUAUGAAAAAGUUCCGUCUCUCAUGUCGAGUUUGCUUUUGUGCAUCUCGUGUUCAUGUGUGGGUCUCUGCUGCAAUCAUGCAUAAAAUUCAAGAACUUGACCUUUGCCUGUUUGUAGAGAAGCCUUUUGCGCUGCCCCGUUGUGUGUUUGAAUGUGAAACACUAACGGUGAUGAAAUUAGAAAUGAACUGUGUACUUGAACUCCCCAGUUACAUUUCUUUUCCAUGUCUCAAGACGUUGCACCUGUGUCUUGUUACAUUCCCAGACGAUUACUCAACCCAAAAAUUAUUCUCUAGCUGCCCAGUUCUUCAAGAGUUGGCUAUGUUGGACUGUGAAUGGAUGAAUUUGAAGAGUAUCACAGUUUCUAUUCCCACGCUUACGAGCUUGACAAUAGAUGAUUUGCCCUACUUUGGGUCAUCAGAUGAACUAAAUGGUUGUGAGAUCAAGAUUGAUGCGACCAAUCUCAAAUUUCUGAAGUACAGUGGUCACCUAUUGAAUGAAAUUCUUGUAUAUAAUCCAUCUUCAUUGGUCAGUGCCGAUAUUCACAUACCAAUUCUGCGUGAGAGGAAAAAAGCAAUUGCUAAUGGUGCAGUUAAACUACUUAGAGGGCUGCACAAUGUUAAAUUUCUGAGAAUUUCUAAUGAUACCAUUGAGUCUCUCUCUCUUGCAGAUAAUGUGCUAGGUCAACUUCCCAUAUUUCAAAAUUUGACCUAUUUAGAGUUGAACAUGGAAAUUGGCAAUCACACUUCCCGAGCAUUGAUGGACUUUCUCCAGUUCUCACCAAAUCUAGAAUCCCUUGUUUUUGCUGAGGGACUGGAACCUCGCAUGUUACUUUUUGAAGAUGAUUGGAUUUUCCCGGUACCUAAAUGCUUUCUUUCCUGCCUAAAGUCAAUCAGCCUUCAUAAUUUUCAUGGGAAUGGUACAGAAGUAUGUUUGCUAAUGUUUUUGCUGAAAAAUUCACUUGUUUUGGAGACGAUGAAUAUCUUUCUUUCUAAGAAUCCAUCCCGAGAUAUAGAGAAGCAAAAGGAGGUGAGGAAUAAGUUGCAAUUGCUUCGUAGAGGUUCACCAAAUUGUGCAAUCAUGUUCUUCUGAAACGUCAAGAAUUCAGUAAUAUUUUUUUCUUUAAGCUUUCAACAACAUGGAUUUGUGUUGCUGCCUUGCUGGUGAUACUGAUGGCACUAGAUUAGAGGACACCGAGCGUUGAGUUAAAUUAAUGCCAGGUGAUUCAAAGUUGGGCAUGGUAGAAGAAUUUAUUGGUUUUUUCUGUGAUGGUGAGCCAGCUUUUUGUAAACACUGAUGAAGCUUACUGGAGUUGAAGUUCUUUUGCCCAAAACUCAGCUUCCAAAGCUAGUAUUGAGCAAGUUUUUUGGCGUUGGAUGAAAUGGUUUAAAUCUGAUUAAUAGACUGGUUUAUUUCUCGUUCAGGAAUUCUCAGGAUGGCUUUGGGUUGAUUAGUUUUGUAAAGUUCGUUCUCAUAUAUAGGUUCGAUAAACCAAUGUGCCCAUAUUGUAUACAAAUAGAUUGGUGCUGUCUAUCUUGGGUGCUGGGACUCAACAGCUUCCUUUCCCUAGGACUCUGUUGGCUUCAAGCUCCCGCUUCUGUUUUUUUGUUUUGGCUUAAUAUGCAUUAUUGUAAUAUAGACUUCCAGACUUGUAUCUCUUUUGCGUUGUACAUUUAACUAAGUAAACAAAACUACAAAUUAAAAGAUAUGUAAAGUCAGGUUUCAUUA